UAGGGAAUCUUCGGCAAUGGGGGCAACCCUGACCGAGCAACGCCGCGUGAGUGAAGAAGGUUUUCGGAUCGUAAAGCUCUGUUGUAAGAGAAGAACGUGUGUGAGAGUGGAAAGUUCACACAGUGACGGUAACUUACCAGAAAGGGACGGCUAACUACGUGCCAGCAGCCGCGGUAAUACGUAGGUCCCGAGCGUUGUCCGGAUUUAUUGGGCGUAAAGCGAGCGCAGGCGGUUUAAUAAGUCUGAAGUUAAAGGCAGUGGCUUAACCAUUGUUCGCUUUGGAAACUGUUAAACUUGAGUGCAGAAGGGGAGAGUGGAAUUCCAUGUGUAGCGGUGAAAUGCGUAGAUAUAUGGAGGAACACAGGUGGCGAAAGCGGCUCUCUGGUCUGUAACUGACGCUGAGGCUCGAAAGCGUGGGGAGCAAACAGG
rnacentral:rRNA from 1 species